UAGAGAAUUUUUGUAAUUAACUUUGCCUAAGCAGCUCUGCUGUUCCCACUAAAGCCUCUGAAGUCUGUUUUGCUUUGGACCUUGCUGACUUUUCUCAUCUGUAGAUGAGAAUAAACGUUGGAAGGAAGCUGGCCUGUGCCUCUGCCCCUUAUCACGCCCACGGGACGGGGGGAACGCAGAGGGAACGGCCUCAGGAGAGCCCUGCUCGCCAAACCCGAGGGGCAACGCCGCAGCCAGGGCCCUGCCAAGCCACUGUUUGGAAACAUCAUGCUUCUGUUACUGCUUUCUGUUUGCGUUGGCCAGCUCUUCCUGUACAUAUGUUUUUUCUUAUAUCCUGUUUUUUUCUUUUUGUAAAGAGAAGAGAAAAAACAAAAGAAAAUUAUUUUUCUUUCCCUCAGUACACAUUCUUCAAAGUUCAAAUUAUAGUGUUUGUUAAAUAAAAAGAAAGAUUUACAUUUAAUUCCGAGCGUCUCCCCUUCUUGGGUUUCGCCGGGUGGCGGCGGCAGCGGCGGCUCCAGCCCUCGGGAGCCGCCUCCGUUCGGAGCCGGGGGCUCGGGCUCGGCCCC
ensembl:lncRNA